GAUGAACGCUGGCGGCGUGCCUAAUACAUGCAAGUCGAGCGAACGGACGAGAAGCUUGCUUUUCUGAUGUUAGCGGCGGACGGGUGAGUAACACGUGGAUAACCUACCUAUAAGACUGGGAUAACUUCGGGAAACCGGAGCUAAUACCGGAUAAUAUUUUGAACCGCAUGGUUCAAAAGUGAAAGACGGUCUUGCUGUCACUUAUAGAUGGAUCCGCGCUGCAUUAGCUAGUUGGUAAGGUAACGGCUUACCAAGGCAACGAUGCAUAGCCGACCUGAGAGGGUGAUCGGCCACACUGGAACUGAGACACGGUCCAGACUCCUACGGAAGGCAGCAGUAGGGAAUCUUCCGCAAUGGGCGAAAGCCUGACGGAGCAACGCCGCGUGAGUGAUGAAGGUCUUCGGAUCGUAAAACUCUGUUAUUAGGGAAGAACAUAUGUGUAAGUAACUGUGCACAUCUUGACGGUACCUAAUCAGAAAGCCACGGCUAACUACGUG
rnacentral:rRNA from 1 species